CUCAGUUUGGCCCAUUCCCGGAGGCAACCAGAGGCAGAAGCAGCAGCAGCAGCAGCAGUAAACUGACCAGUAUGAGGACAGCAGCCAGUGGAGUGUGUCUGCGGACGUGGAUCAUGGACAAAACCUCGGGGAGUUGUCCUUCACGUGAUGCCACAAAGAACAUCCUGCCUCGGGUGGACUGGGACUAAAAUCUGUUCCUUGAAUGCAAUGACCGGAAUAACCUGUUUGGGGCCCCGUGGCACAAAUCUGCUGUUUGGCAACUGACAGACGGUGAACAUGGAUGUCUGAAGCCUCCAGUCAUUACCUGCUUUACUCAUCCAUCAAAAGACAGGAAUAGGAGUACUGAGACGCAUUGCUGUUAUUACAUUAUCAUUUUUGUUAUCAUUAUUAUCCUUAUACAUAUAGUGAUAAAUAAUAAAUUGUGUGUGUGUGUGUUCUUAACUAUGUUAUAAAUGCUAUAAAUCA